UGCACGAAUGGUGUAACGAUCUGGACACUGUCUCAACCGUGAGCUUGGUGAAAUUGUAGUAUCGGUGAAGAUGCCGGUUACUCGCAACGGGACGAAAAGACCCCAUGCACCUUCACUACAACUUUACAUUGACUUUGGGUAAAUAAUGUGUAGGAUAGGCGGGAGGCUUUGAAGCGAUGGCGCCAGCUGUCGUGGAGCCACCCUUGAAAUACCGCCCUUUUGUUUUUUGAUAUCUAACCGCGGCCCGUUAUCCGGGUCCGGGACCCUGCAUGGUGGGUAGUUUGACUGGGGCGGGCGCCUCC
rnacentral:rRNA from 14 species